rnacentral:rRNA from 1 species
AUUGAACGCUGGCGGCAUGCCUUACACAUGCAAGUCGAACGGCAGCACGGGAGCAAUCCUAGUGGCGAGUGGCGAACGGGUGAGUAAUAUAUCGGAACGUGCCCAGUAGUGGGGGAUAACUGCUCGAAAGAGCAGCUAAUACCGCAUACGACCUGAGGGUGAAAGGGGGGGAUCGCAAGACCUCUCGCUAUUGGAGCGGCCGAUAUCAGAUUAGCUAGUUGGUGGGGUAAAGGCCUACCAAGGCAACGAUCUGUAGUUGGUCUGAGAGGACGAGCAGCCACACUGGGACUGAGACCCGGCCCAGACUCCUACGGGAGGCAGCAGUGGGGAAUUUUGGACAAUGGGCGCAAGCCUGAUCCAGCAAUGCCGCGUGCAGGAAGAAGGCCUUCGGGUUGUAAACUGCUUUUGUCAGGGAAGAAAUCCUCUAGGUUAAUACCCUUGGGGGGAUGACGGUACCUGAAGAAUAAGCACCGGCUAACUACGUGCCAGCCGCCGCAGUAACAC